AAUAAGCGGAGGAAAAGAAACCAACAGGGAUUGCCUCAGUAACGGCGAGUGAAGCGGCAACAGCUCAAAUUUGAAAUCUGGCCCCCCGGCCCGAGUUGUAAUUUGCAGAGGAUGCUUCUGGCGCGGUGCCUUCCAAGUCCCCUGGAACGGGGCGCCAUAGAGGGUGAGAGCCCCGUCGGGUCGGCCGCCAAGCCUGUGUGAAGCUCCUUCGACGAGUCGAGUAGUUUGGGAAUGCUGCUCUAAAUGGGAGGUAGACCCCUUCUAAAGCUAAAUACCGGCCAGAGACCGAUAGCGCACAAGUAGAGUGAUCGAAAGAUGAAAAGCACUUUGAAAAGAGGGUUAAACAGUACGUGAAAUUGUUGAAAGGGAAGCGCUUGUGACCAGACGUGCGCCGGGUGUUCAGCGGGCGUUUUCGCCCGUGCAUUCGCCCCGGCGCAGGCCAGCGUCGGUUUGGGCGGGGGGACAAAGGUGCCAGGAACGUAGCUCCCCCGGGAGUGUUAUAGCCUGGUGCGUCAUGCCCCCGCCUGGACCGAGGUUCGCGCUCCGCAAGGACGCUGGCGUAAUGGUCCCCAGCGGCCCGUCUUGAAACACGGACCAAGGAGUCGAGGUUUUACGCGAGUGUCUGGGUGUCAAACCCGCACGCGUAAUGAAAGUGAACGUAGGUGGGAGCUUCGGCGCACCACCGACCGAUCCUGAUGUUUUCGGAUGGAUUUGAGUAGGAGCGUAGGGCCUCGGACCCGAAAGAUGGUGAACUAUACUUGGAUAGGGUGAAGCCAGAGGAAACUCUGGUGGAGGCUCGCAGCGGUUCUGACGUGCAAAUCGAUCGUCAAAUCUGAGUAUGGGGGCGAAAGACUAAUCGAACCAUCUAGUAGCUGGUUACC
rnacentral:rRNA from 1 species